UACAGAGGGUGCGAGCGUUAAUCGGAAUUACUGGGCGUAAAGCGUGCGUAGACGGUUAUGUAAGUCCGUUGUGAAAGCCCCGAGCUCAACUUGGGAAUUGCAGUGGAUACUGGCAAGCUGGAGUGCGGUAGAGGAAGGUGGAAUUCCCGGUGUAGCGGUGAAAUGCGUAGAGAUCGGGAGGAACACCAGUGGCGAAGGCGGCCUUCUGGACCAGCACUGACACUCAAGCACGAAAGCGUGGGGAGCAAACAGG
rnacentral:rRNA from 1 species